rnacentral:rRNA from 1 species
GAUGAACGCUGGCGGCGUGCCUAAUACAUGCAAGUCGAGCGAACGGACGAGAAGCUUGCUUCUCUGAUGUUAGCGGCGGACGGGUGAGUAACACGUGGAUAACCUACCUAUAAGACUGGGAUAACUUCGGGAAACCGUAGCUAAUACCGGAUAAUAUUUUGAACCGCAUGGUUCAAUAGUGAAAGACGGUUUUGCUGUCACUUAUAGAUGGAUCCGCGCUGCAUUAGCUAGUUGGUAAGGUAACGGCUUACCAAGGCAACGAUGCAUAGCCGACCUGAGAGGGUGAUCGGCCACACUGGAACUGAGACACGGUCCAGACUCCUACGGGAGGCAGCAGUAGGGAAUCUUCCGCAAUGGGCGAAAGCCUGACGGAGCAACGCCGCGUGAGUGAUGAAGGUCUUCGGAUCGUAAAACUCUGUUAUUAGGGAAGAACAUAUGUGUAAGUAACUGUGCACAUCUUGACGGUACCUAAUCAGAAAGCCACGGCUAACUACGUG